rnacentral:rRNA from 1 species
AGUGAACGCUGGCGGUAGGCCUAACACAUGCAAGUCGAACGGCAGCACAGUAAGAGCUUGCUCUUACGGGUGGCGAGUGGCGGACGGGUGAGGAAUACAUCGGAAUCUACUUUUUCGUGGGGGAUAACGUAGGGAAACUUACGCUAAUACCGCAUACGACCUACGGGUGAAAGCAGGGGAUCUUCGGACCUUGCGCGAUUGAAUGAGCCGAUGUCGGAUUAGCUAGUUGGCGGGGUAAAGGCCCACCAAGGCGACGAUCCGUAGCUGGUCUGAGAGGAUGGUCACGCAACUGGGAAGGGAGACAGGGCCCGGACGCCAGGGGGAGGAGACGGGGGGAAAGUUUGAAGAAGGGGCGAAGGACGGAACCAACCAUCCGGGGGGGAGAAAGAGGGCUUGGGGUUUGAAAAGCCCUUUUGGGGGAAAAAAAAAGCAGCGGUUAAAUACCCCGCUGUUCUGAGGGUACCCAAAAAAUAAGCACCGGCUAAUUUCGUG